UACAGAGGGUGCGAGCGUUGUCCGGAAUCACUGGGCGUAAAGGGCGCGUAGGCGGCUUGAUAAGGUUGCGGUGAAAGCCCGGGGCUCAACCCCGGGUCGGCCGUGGCAACUGUCGAGCUGGAGCACUGUAGAGGCAGGUGGAAUUCCGGGUGUAGCGGUGGAAUGCGUUGAGAUCGGAAGGAACGCCCGUGGCGAAAGCGAGGUCCUGGACGUUUGCUGACGCUGAGACGCGAAAGCCAGGGGAGCGAACGGG
rnacentral:rRNA from 1 species